GCUUCUUCACCGCCAGCUUCUUCCCCUCUCCCUCUGAAGUGGCUGAAAAACAGGUUCAGACUGUCAGCAGGACAAAGGGUUUCUGAUGAGACUCCGCAAGUUUUAAGCACUACAUCAGUCCUAAGACCACAUCCACCUCCUCCUCUGUGGCAUACUAAACCCAGGCCACCACUUGGCGCUCCUCCCAGCAAGACCGCUUCAUCAGCUAAACUAAUUAACAGUUCUCCACUGCCUAGCACUUGUGGACAGCACAGAAGAACAACAUCCUCCUCUGGACCUAGAAAAACACAAAUGCCUACCGCCUCACUUCCAGGGCCCGGCAGUGACCAGAUAAUAGUUGAAACCACACACUGCUGCAGUCUUUCUCCAGAGCAAGAUAGUGCAUGUCUCCGCUGCAUGACCCCGACUUCUAAUACUGGUUUUCAAGCAAAAACUCCAAGAAAUUCACCCCUCUAUGAAACCCAUCUAUCAUCCAUUCGCAGCCCGAGCAGAAAGUGUGAUUUGUCACCAAAGAGGGAGAGAAAAGGCUGCUCUGCCUGGAAGUCAAGAAACGUCAGUAGUAUCCCUUCACCUGCUCUCAGCUCUCACUGUGAUGCAGGCAGUUACAGCAACAAUAAUACUGACCAUUCUGGGUCAACGACAGUGAAAUCAAACACACAGAAUAGUACCUGUGGAGGUAGUUUAGUGUCAACAACAGUGCAGACAGAUAGCGACAGAAGGAAGAGUACUGAGAGUUACUGUGUUGGCAGUGGGGAAAGCAACAUUGGAAUUGAUAUUAAUAAAUCUUGGGAAGGAUGUCGCCCAACAGCAAAGCCUAGUAGCCACUGUUUGACAGACCGCCUCUCACAUCAUCCAGAAAGCAGAGAUAUACAGGGGCAGGCCAAGUGCACCCAUCCAGCGUCCAUACGGAUAAAUGGGCAAUUCUUUACUUUCCCCAAAAGACCACCUGAGGGCACCGCGAGUCAGCCAAAAAGUGCCAAAGAGGCCCAGCCGGAACUGGGCGUUUAUAAACAACUUUUACCAGCUCCUCCUGCAAGGGUUUUGACUUGAAGUCAGCCAAUAAUUUCACUGCUGUGUCUGGUUCCUCACAGGGUUUUCCCCCCCAUAAAGCAUGAAUUAAAAUAAAAUUGAGUUCUUGUGCUUGUAA